rnacentral:lncRNA from 1 species
ACAAACUGAACAUGUCAAAUUACAAAUAAAUACUAAUCGUUUGUUAAAAAAAGCGAAGCAUCCUAAACUCUGUUUAAUAAAGCAUCAUAAUCAUGAAAUUUAAUGAAGAUAAAGCAAUUAAUUUGUAUUUAAAUCUGGGAAUUGGGAACAUAAAAAAAAGAUGGAAUGAUAAUAGGAGAAAUAAAAUUCUGGAAAUGGAAUGAAGAAAUAAAAACCAAUAACAGGAAAAAUAGAAUGAAGAUAACCGGAUGAAGAAGUCUGGAAAUCUGAUGCUCAGAUUCUAGGAAUAAUCUUAAUCGAUGGUAGCCGGCAGGCGAUGAACACGUUGAGUAGGAGAGGAAGAAAUCGAGUAAGAGAAAUGGGGGGAAGCUGGAAU